GGGGGACUAUGCUUGCAAAGUGAAACUUAAAGGAAUUCAUGAAGGGCAACAUCAGGAGUGGUGCCUGCAGCUUAAUUUGACCCAGCAUGGGAAACCUCACCCAACCCAGACAUGGACAGGAUUGGCCAAUCCAUUCAGGCUCAAUGCAGGGAGCUGAGACAUUCAGACUGGAGAAGAUGGGACAUGGUGUGAUGUCAGGGCUGACGAAAAGGGGGAGGGUUCUAAAGAAGAGCCCAACAAUGGUAUAAAAUGCCUAAGAAGCCACUGCGCACAGUUUAAAGAUUCUGCUCAGCUCAGUGUCCUGACCAGAUAUAUGGAGGUGACGGUGAUGAAGAGAAGCAAAGUUGUGGUUACAGGAGUUUGUCUUUCCCUCAGGGCUUUCUGCUUCCAUUUAUCCCCUCCCUGGCUGCUAGUGGUCUUUAGGAAAAAGAGUAAGAAGCCAGAGGGCCCUGGUUUGUCCCCCCCGCCCCCAGCUGUGUGACUCUGGGACCACUUCCACUCUGAGCAUCAGUGGGGUUCGUGUGUGUGUGUGUGUGUGUGUGUGUGUUGAACCUUUAUUGUUGAGAGUAUUACAGAUGUCCCCCCUUUCCUUCCCAUUGGCCUCCACCCAGUUCCAACCCUGCCCCAGGCCUUCACCACCCUACUGUCUGUGUCCAUAGGUAAGAUCUUAAGAUCUUUGGUUAAUCUCUUCCCACCCU
rnacentral:ncRNA from 1 species